rnacentral:rRNA from 1 species
CUUCAAAAGCAUGGCGACCAAUGUUCUAAACUUCAUUGGCCUCUAACCCUUUUGACCUCAAAUCAGGUAGGACUACCCGCUGAACUUAAGCAUAUCAAUAAGCGGAGGAAAAGAAACCAACCGGGAUUGCCUCAGUAACGGCGAGUGAAGCGGCAAAAGCUCAAAUUUGGAAUCUGGCGCCCUCGGCGUCCGAGUUGUAAUUUGAAGACUCUAUCUUGGGAGGCGGCGCUGUCGAAGUUCCUUGGAACAGGACGUCACAGAGGGUGAGAAUCCCGUGCGAUGGCAGCCGCGGACCGUGUAAGUUAGUGUCGACGAGUCGAGUUGUUUGGGAAUGCAGCUCUAAGUGGGUGGUAAACUCCAUCUAAAGCUAAAUAUUGGCGAGAGACCGAUAGCGAACAAGUACAGUGAUGGAAAGAUGAAAAGAACUUUGAAAAGAGAGUGAAAAAGUACGUGAAAUUGUUGAAAGGGAAGGGCUUGAGAUCAGACAUGCCUUCGGGCAGGCCAGCAUCAGCUGGAAGGGGCAGACAAGGGCGCCGCAAUGUGGCCUGGCUUCGGCUAGGUGUUAUAGGCGGCGUCGAUGUGUCCACUUCCGGCUGAGGACCGCGCUUCGGCAAGGAUGCUGGCGUAAUGAUCCCCAGCCGCCCGUCUUGAAACACGGACCAAGGAGUCUAACGUCUAUGCGAGUGUUUGGGUGUAAAACCCGUACGCGGAAUGAAAGUGAACGCAGGUGGGGGCCCCUCGGGGUGCACCAUCGACCGAUCCUGAAGUGUUCGG